rnacentral:rRNA from 1 species
UACGUAGGGUGCAAGCGUUGUCCGGAAUCAUUGGGCGUAAAGAGCGUGUAGGCGGCUCGUUAAGUCCGCUGUGAAAGUCCAGGGCUCAACCCUGGGAUGCCGGUGGAUACUGUCGGGCUCGAGUCCGGAAGAGGAGUGUGGAAUUCCUGGUGUAGCGGUGAAAUGCGCAGAUAUCAGGAGGAACACCAAUGGCGAAGGCAGCGCUCUGGGACGUGACUGACGCUGAGACGCGAAAGCGUGGGGAGCAAACAGG